UACGGGGGGGGGGCAAGCGUUGUUCGGAAUUACUGGGCGUAAAGGGCUCGUAGGCGGCCAACUAAGUCAGACGUGAAAUCCCCGGGCUUAACUCGGGAACUGCGUCUGAUACUGGAAGGCUGGAGUUCGGGAGAGGAAUGUGGAAUUCCAGGUGUAGCGGUGAAAUGCGUAGAUAUCUGGAGGAACACCGGUGGCGAAGGCGGCAUUCUGGACCGAAACUGACGCUGAGGCGCGAAAGCCAGGGGAGCAAACGGG
rnacentral:rRNA from 1 species